rnacentral:rRNA from 1 species
UACAGAGGGUGCUAGCGUUGUUCGGAAUUACUGGGCGUAAAGCGUGCGCAGGCGGUGAUGUAAGACAGAUGUGAAAUCCCCGGGCUCAACCUGGGAACUGCAUUUGUGACUGCAUCGCUGGAGUGCGGCAGAGGGGGAUGGAAUUCCGCGUGUAGCAGUGAAAUGCGUAGAUAUGCGGAGGAACACCGAUGGCGAAGGCAAUCCCCUGGGCCUGCACUGACGCUCAUGCACGAAAGCGUGGGGAGCAAACAGG